rnacentral:tRNA from 1 species
CAAAAAAUAGUUUAAUUAAAAUAAUAAUUUUGGGAAUUAUUGAUAUUUUUAAGAAAAUUUUUUUGA